AACGCGAAGAACCUUACCUGGGCUUGAACCGCACAGGACCCUCCCUAGAAAUAGGGACUUCCCGCAAGGGACCUGUGUAGAGGUGCUGCAUGGCUGUCGUCAGCUCGUGCCGUGAGGUGUUGGGUUAAGUCCCGCAACGAGCGCAACCCUUACUCAUAGUUGCCACCCGCAAGGGGGAACUCUAAGAGGACUGCUCCGGAUAACGGAGAGGAAGGUGGGGAUGACGUCAAGUCAGCACGGCCUUUAUGUCCAGGGCUACACACGUGUUACAAUGCAUGGUACAAACCGUCGCGAACCUGCGAAGGGGAGCUAAUCGGAAAAAACCAUGCUCAGUUCGGAUUGCAGUCUGCAACUCGACUGCAUGAAGCCGGAAUCGCUAGUAAUGGCGUAUCAGAACGACGCCGUGAAUACGUUCCCGGGCUUGUACACACCGCUAGUC
rnacentral:rRNA from 1 species